ACCUCAUUGGGUCAGCGGCGGACGGGUGAGUAACACGUGGGCAACCUGCCCAACAGACUGGGAUAACUCCGGGAAACCGGAGCUAAUACCGGAUAGGCUCUUUUCACCACCUGGUGAAAAGAGAAAAGGCGGUUUCGGCCGCCACUGUUGGAUGGGCCCGCGGCGCAUUAGCUAGUUGGUGAGGUAAGGGCUCACCAAGGCGACGAUGCGUAGCCGACCUGAGAGGGUGAUCGGCCACACUGGAACUGAGACACGGUCCAGACUCCUACGGGAGGCAGCAGUAGGGAAUCAUCCGCAAUGGGCGAAAGCCUGACGGUGCAAUGCCGCGUGAGUGAUGAAGGUUUUCGGAUCGUAAAGCUCUGUUGUGAGGGAAGAACAAGUUCGGGAGGAAAUGCCCGAGCCGUGACGGUACCUCACCAGAAAGCCACGGCUAACUACGUGCCAGCAGCCGCGGUAAUACGUAGGUGGCAAGCGUUGUCCGGAAUUAUUGGGCGUAAAGGGCACGCAGGCGGUUCUUUAAGUCUGAUGUGAAAGGCUGUGGCUCAACCACAGAAUUGCAUUGGAAACUGGAGAACUUGAGUGCAGAAGAGGAGAGUGGA
rnacentral:rRNA from 1 species